rnacentral:tRNA from 1 species
GGAGGGAUCGUCAAAUUGGUAUGGCACCGCAUUCGAAAUGCGGCAUCCGAAAGGAUAUCGGGGUUCGAGUCCCCGUCCCUCCG